rnacentral:rRNA from 1 species
ACUCCUACGGGAGGCAGCAGUGGGGAAUAUUGCACAAUGGGGGAAACCCUGAUGCAGCCAUGCCGCGUGUGUGAAGAAGGCCUUCGGGUUGUAAAGCACUUUCUAGUAGGGAGGAAGGUAGUGUAGUUAACACCUGCAUUAUUUGUACGUUACCUACAGAAGAAGCACCGGCUAACUCCGUGCCAGCAGCCGCGGUAAGUACGGAGGGUGCGAGCGUUAAUCGGAAUUACUGGGCGUAAAGCGCAUGCAGGCGGCCUGUUAAGUCAGAUGUGAAAGCCCGGGGUCUUAACCUCGGAAUUGCAUUUGAAACUGGCAGGCUAGAGUCUUGUAGAGGGGUUAGAAUUUCAGGUGUAGCGGUGAAAUGCGUAGAGAUCUGAAGGAAUACCAGU